GCACCAUUAGCUCAGUCGGUAGAGCAACUGACUCUUAAUCAGUGGGUCCUGGGUUCGAGUCCCCGAUGGUGCACCA
rnacentral:tRNA from 1 species